GACCCCUUUUGCCAGUGCUUGACUCUUUUCACACGAGUGUGCCAGGGACUAUUUUCUGCCACUUGCCCCCCUUCUCUGUCGGUGCAACAUUCACAAGGAAGCAGGAACAUCCCUCUGCUCUUCUUUUUCCAAGAGCCCUUAAGAUGCUAGAUAUGCCGGCUAUAUUCUCAGCGUUCAAAUUCUGCGGACACAAAAGACAAGAGAGGGGUAAGAAAGAGGGAGGUGAAUUUAGGAGACAAACUAGGAGCUAAAGUCAUCAGGCAGGUGAGGAGAGGGAGUAAUGAGAGGAGAAGAGAAAGUAAAGGGUAUCAGAGGAUAAGGGGGAAGCGUGCAGACGGGAGGGCGCUGGGUACGCCGUGUCCUUAAAAAGCCUCAGAGGAAGUAGAGGGAGAGGCAGAGAUGAGAGGAGAGGAUGAGCAGUGCGGCGUGGCUGAGAAAGAGGUUCUCACAUUCCUGUUACUCCCAUGGCUCUUUUCAUCUUUAUGUCUCACCUAUAUUUUAAUGUCUAGACGGACAGAAAGCAGCACUUACAAGCAGCUGUUGAACAGGAGCAAGUGGGUACAAACCUUUUUUUUUUUUUCAUGUGCCCCUACAACCCUAUCAAAUAAAUUUUCAUCAGCCCAA